GACGAACGCUGGCGGCGUGCCUAAUACAUGCAAGUCGAACGCUGAAGGAGGAGCUUGCUUCUCUGGAUGAGUUGCGAACGGGUGAGUAACGCGUAGGUAACCUGCCUGGUAGCGGGGGAUAACUAUUGGAAACGAUAGCUAAUACCGCAUAAUAGUAGAUGUUGCAUGACAUUUGCUUAAAAGGUGCAAUUGCAUCACUACCAGAUGGACCUGCGUUGUAUUAGCUAGUUGGUGGGGUAACGGCUCACCAAGGCGACGAUACAUAGCCGACCUGAGAGGGUGAUCGGCCACACUGGGACUGAGACACGGCCCAGACUCCUACGGGAGGCAGCAGUAGGGAAUCUUCGGCAAUGGACGGAAGUCUGACCGAGCAACGCCGCGUGAGUGAAGAAGGGUUUCGGAUCGUAAAGCUCGGUUGUAAGAGAAGAACGAGUGUGAGAGUGGAAAGUUCACACUGUGACGGUAGCUUACCAGAAAGGGACGGCUAACUACGUG
rnacentral:rRNA from 1 species